CUGUGGCUCAUCUGGGUCAUCCCAGGAAACCACAGCCUCUGCAGCCAGAGGAAGGCAGGCUGUGGCUCCUCAGAAGCCCCAGCAGCACAAGGGUCCCCAGAUCCCCCAGCUCCUUCUCUCCUGCCUUCACCCAGCCCCUGGCUUCCCCGCUGUGGGGACUCUGGGAGGAACAGGAAGGCCCAGGUCAGAGGAGCGGGGCUGGCUCAGGAUCAGGCACUGGAGGAAAGCUCCUUUUUUGGAAAGCAGGCAGUCACUUCUCAGGAGGACGGAAUCUUUGGGAAGUGACGCCAGCGAGAGCCGGAGGGGCAGGGCAGAAAGCCCUCCUCCUCAACUCCCCGUCACACACAGGCAGGGGCUCCUGUCUCUGCUCAGGGACAUCACAGGGCCACCUAGGGAGGCUCAAUGAGCUGCUCUUUAUAGGUUUGAAAGGGGACAGCACAGGGAUUGCAUCUGCAACACCUGCCCUCCCACGGCCUCCAGCAGGACACAGGAAGUGGGGGCUGGGCUGCCCCUCCAGGAGGAUGAGGAGGAAGCCCCCUGGACCCCCCUGUGGGUUCCUGGCUGCUUCUCCAAGGACACAGUGCAGGAUUGCCAGGUGGGGUGAGGUGCAGCCUGGAGCUUCCUGGGCAGGGCCCCAUCGACAUCCAGCUUCCACGGAGGAAAGUGCACCAGAAGAUGGAGCCAACCGGAAGGAAAGAGGGACCAGGGGAGGGAGAGCUGAUCCCCACAAGGUCCUCCAGUGCCUAUGUCCAGCUGUGUUGCUCCCUGGCCCUGGGCAACACGAGGCAGA